rfam:Branchiostoma floridae genomic scaffold BRAFLscaffold_206, whole genome shotgun sequence.
GAUGGCCUGUGUGUGGAUGAUGUUCAGCACCAAUGGCAGGUUUGUUUACCUGUGUGGAUGGUGUUCAGCACUAAGGACAGGUGUGUUUACCU